CCCAAUGUGGAAUUCGCCCUUGCGCUACCUGGUUGAUCCUGCCAAGGAAGCACACUAAGGCCGAAGAUUAAGCCAUGCAAGUGUUAGUUCAGGCAACGAAACUGCGAACAGCUCAUUAAUACGCGCAGAACCUAAUUGGUUUCGACUCAGUAGGGUCCUACAUGGAUAGCUGCAGCAAAUCUGGAGCUAAUACAUGCAGUACAACCACCUUAAGCGAGUUAAGGUGAGGACAUGACCGUAAGGCGUACCAUGCGGUUGAGCGCCCUAUCAGCUUGUACGUAGUGUCUGUUACUAUGUAGGCUGUCACGGGUGACGGGCGGUUAUCGUCGGACUGCCGGAGAAGGCGCCUGAGAGACAGCGGCUAUACCUAUGGGUAGCAGCAGGCGCGAAACUUACCCACUCGCCAACGGCGGAGGUGGUUACGGCCAGUUCCCAUCGUGUCCUCUGGACCGGGGGAUAGGGUCACGUCCUAUGAGCGUGGCGGAAUCUAGGAGAGGGCCAGUUCUGGUGCCAGCAGCUGCGGUAAUUCCAGCUCUCCGAGUUUGCUCCCAAUGCUACACUUAAAACGCCCGUAGUCUGAGUUCGAAGCGUGAAUAGCGCGUUCACCGUGAAUAAAUCAGUACGCUUAGAGUAGUUAACAACUGAAUGACUAAGCGCGGCAUGAAAGCUUUACCCGACCAGGGUCAGCUCAAUGAGAGCCAUCGGGGGUGGACCUACUCUGUGGCGAGGGGCUGAAUCUGUUGACCCGCGGGGGAGGAACAAAUGCGAAGGCAUCCACCUAGAGGGUAUCUGUCGAUCAAGGGCGAGAGCCGCAGUAGCCAACCGGAUUAGAGACCCGGGUAGUUGCGGCCUUAAACGAUGCCGACAGGGCCUGGUCGCGAGGCUGGGUUCGAGGAGAAAUCAUAGUCUCUGGGCUGUGGGGGAACUACGACCGCAAGGCUGAAACUUGAAGGGAUUGACGGAUGGGCACACCAGGCGUGGAGUUUGCGGCCUAAUUUGACUCAACACGAGGCAACUUACCAGGACCAGAGGGGUAGAUGAUGGACAGACUGCCGGUCUUUCCGAAUUGCCCCGUCGGUGGUGCAUGGCCGUUGUUGGUCCGUGGAUUGGUCUGUCAUUCGUCGAUUCAGGUAACGAGCGAGACUACCGCUGCUUACCUAGGGUUGGGCUCGUCAGAGCUUCAGCUCUUCUAAGUGGGACUCCCUGCGUUUAAGCAGGCGGAAGAGGGUAGCAAUAACAGGUCCGUGAUGUCCUUUAGAUGCCCUGGGCUGCACGCGCACUACAAUGCUAGGAUCAAAGGGAUGCUAACCCGAAACGGCAUGCCACUCCCUCAGUACCUAGCGUAGUUAGGAUCGAGGAUUGUAAUCAUCUUCGUGAAUCAGGAAUGCCUUGUAAACGUGUUUCACCAGAGCGCGUUGAAUACGUCCCUGCCCUUUGUACACACCGCCCGUCGCUCCUACCGAUUGGAUGGAUCGGUGAAGCUGUUGGAGGAGCAAUCCAAAGGCAGUUGAGCCCAUCGAUUUAGAGGAAGGAGAGGUCGUAACAAGGUAACAGUAGGUGAACCUGCAGAAGGAUCA
rnacentral:rRNA from 1 species